UACGGGAGGCAGCAGUGGGGAAUAUUGCACAAUGGGCGAAAGCCUGAUGCAGCUAUGCCGCGUGUAUGAAGAAGGCCUUAGGGUUGUAAAGUACUUUCAUCGGGGAGGAAAACAAAACUAAUAAUUUUAUUUCUUGACGUUACCCGAAAAAGAAGCACCGGCUAACUCCGUGCCAGCAGCCGCGGUAAUACGGAGGGUGCUAGCGUUAAUCAGAAUUACUGGGCGUAAAGAGCACGUAGGUGGUUUUUUUAAGUCAGAUGUGAAAUCCCUGGGCUUAACCUAGGAACUGCAUUUUGAAACUGAAAUACUAGAGUAUCGUAGAGGGAGGUAGAAUUCUAGGUGUAGCGGUGAAAUGCGUAGAUAUCUGGAGGAAUACCUGUGGCGAAAGCGGCCUCCUAAACGAAUACUGACACUGAGGUGCGAAAGCGUGGGGAGCAAACAGGGAUUAGAUACC
rnacentral:rRNA from 1 species